rnacentral:rRNA from 1 species
AGAGUUUGAUCCUGGCUCAGGACGAACGCUGGCGGCGUGCCUAACACAUGCAAGUCGAGCGAUGAAGUUCCUUCGGGAAAUGGAUUAGCGGCGGACGGGUGAGUAACACGUGGGUAACCUGCCUUAUAGUGGGGGAUAGCCUUUCGAAAGGAAGAUUAAUACCGCAUAAGAUUGUAGUAUCGCAUGAUAUAGCAAUUAAAGGAGCAAUUCGCUAUAAGAUGGACCCGCGUCGCAUUAGCUAGUUGGUGAGGUAAUGGCUCACCAAGGCGACGAUGCGUAGCCGACCUGAGAGGGUGAUCGGCCACAUUGGGACUGAGACACGGCCCAGACUCCUACGGGAGGCAGCAGUGGGGAAUAUUGCACAAUGGGCGAAAGCCUGAUGCAGCAACGCCGCGUGAGUGAUGACGGCCUUCGGGUUGUAAAACUCUGUCUUCAGGGACGAUAAUGACGGUACCUGAGG